UGGGGGAUAUUGCACAAUGGGGGAAACCCUGAUGCAGCGACGCCGCGUGGAGGAAGAAGGUUUUCGGAUUGUAAACUCCUGUCGUUAGGGACGAAAAUUGACGGUACCUAACAAGAAAGCACCGGCUAACUACGUGCCAGCAGCCGCGGUAAAACGUAGGGUGCAAGCGUUGUCCGGAAUUACUGGGUGUAAAGGGAGCGCAGGCGGACCGGCAAGUUGGAAGUGAAAUCUAUGGGCUCAACCCAUAAAUUGCUUUCAAAACUGCUGGCCUUGAGUAGUGCAGAGGUAGGUGGAAUUCCCGGUGUAGCGGUGGAAUGCGUAGAUAUCGGGAGGAACACCAGUGGCGAAGGCGACCUACUGGGCACCAACUGACGCUGAGGCUCGAAAGCAUGGGUAGCAAACA
rnacentral:rRNA from 1 species